GUAAUUAUUUUGAGUCCAGAGUGGUGUUAUGAGGCAGGUAUCGAGCAGAGAGCUUUUAUGGAUUUGAGCAGGUAAAUAUCAGGAUGGUGAGAUAAAGCUGGAUCAUUGUUAAGUUCAAGUUGGUAUUUUGCAGGUUAGAAGUCAAACAGGAAUGCAGAGGAGUUCAGGCUGGCAUUAAGCAGGGUUGGAAGCAAGUAGUUCAGCUGGCAUUAAG
rnacentral:lncRNA from 1 species